AGAGUUUGAUCCUGGCUCAGAAUGAACGCUGGCGGCGCGCCUAAUACAUGCAAGUCGAGCGAGAAGACGUAGCAAUACGUUUGUAAAGCGGCGAACGGGUGAGGAAUACAUGGGUAACCUACCCUCGAGUGGGGAAUAACUAGCCGAAAGGUUAGCUAAUACCGCGUACGCUCCUUGGACUUCGGUUCAGGGAGGAAAGCGAUGCCGUGGGUAUCGCGCUCUUGGUUGGGCUCAUGUCCUAUCAGCUUGUUGGUGAGGUAACGGCUCACCAAGGCUUCGACGGGUAGCUGGUCUGAGAGGACGAUCAGCCACACUGGCACUGCGACACGGGCCAGACUCCUACGGGAGGCAGCAGUAAGGAAUAUUGCGCAAUGGGCGAAAGCCUGACGCAGCGACGCCGCGUGGGGGAUGAAGGUCUUCGGAUUGUAAACCCCUUUCGGGAGGGAAGAUGGAAUGGGGUAACCCAUUCGGACGGUACCUCCAGAAGCAGCC
rnacentral:rRNA from 1 species